rnacentral:rRNA from 1 species
GUUAUAGGGUCAAGCGAACAAGUGCAUGUGGUGGAUGCCUUGGCGAUCACAGGCGAUGAAGGACGCGGUAGCCUGCGAAAAGCCCCGGGGAGCUGGCAAACAAGCUUUGAUCCGGGGAUGUCCGAAUGGGGAAACCCACUCCUUUUGGAGUAUCCAUGACUGAAUACAUAGGUCAUGUGAAGCGAACGCGGUGAACUGAAACAUCUAAGUAACCGCAGGAAAAGAAAUCAACCGAGAUUCCCAAAGUAGUGGCGAGCGAAAUGGGAUGAGCCUUGUACUCUUUAUUUGUAUUGUUAGCCGAACGCUCUGGAAAGUGCGGCCAUAGCAGGUGAUAGCCCUGUAGGCGAAAACAGUAUGAAAGAACUAGGUGUACGACAAGUAGGGCGGGACACGUGAAAUCCUGUCUGAAGAUGGGGGGACCAUCCUCCAAGGCUAAAUACUCGUGAUCGACCGAUAGUGAACCAGUACCGUGAGGGAAAGGCGAAAAGAACCCCGGGAGGGGAGUGAAAUAGAUCCUGAAACCGCAUGCAUACAAACAGUCGGAGCCUCGUAAGGGGUGACGGCGUACCUUUUGUAUAAUGGGUCAGCGACUUACGUUCAGUAGCAAGCUUAACCGUAUAGGGCAGGCGUAGCGAAAGCGAGUCCGAAUAGGGCGUUCAGUUGCUGGGCGUAGACCCGAAACCAGGUGAUCUAUCCAUGGCCAGGAUGAAGGUGCGGUAACACGUACUGGAGGUCCGAACCCACUAACGUUGAAAAGUUAGGGGAUGAGCUGUGGAUAGGGGUGAAAGGCUAAACAAACCUGGAAAUAGCUGGUUCUCUCCGAAAACUAUUUAGGUAGUGCCUCGUGUCUCACCUUCGGGGGUAGAGCACUGUCAUGGUUGGGGGGUCUAUUGCAGAUUACCCCGCCAUAGCAAACUCCGAAUACCGAAGAGUGCAAUCACGGGAGACAGACAUCGGGUGCUAACGUCCGGUGUCAAGAGGGAAACAACCCAGACCGCCAGCUAAGGUCCCCAAAUAUGGCUAAGUGGGAAACGAAGUGGGAAGGCUAAAACAGUCAGGAGGUUGGCUUAGAAGCAGCCACCCUUUAAAGAAAGCGUAAUAGCUCACUGAUCGAGUCGUCCUGCGCGGAAGAUGUAACGGGGCUAAGCCAUAUACCGAAGCUGCGGAUGCGUGCUUGCACGCAUGGUAGGAGAGCGUUCCGUAAGCCUGCGAAGGUGCCUUGUAAA